GGACAUAUCACGUUGAAACACUGGUACUCGUACGAUCACUGAAGUUAAGCAACAUCGAGUCUGGUCAGUACCUAGAUGGGUGACCGCAG